rnacentral:lncRNA from 1 species
AGGUAUUAAGUUCUAUGUUCUCCAAGAAGUUUUCGCACUAUCAUUUUAUAACUUUGCUUUAUUCAUACUGGAAUAUGUUCAACCUCUUUUUGUCCAACUGGUGUCAACUCUGCUAAAACACCAUUGUGUUCAUCUAUUUUUUUGGAACGGAGAUGAAACCUCUCUAUUUUUUUAAAACCAUUGUGUUCAUCUAUUCAUUUAGGUUUUGGCAUUGAAGAGAAAAUGGUGUAAACCAAAAUCUAAAUUUGUAUGAAAUGACACUCUUCUUCAAUUAGGGGAGGAGCUUUCUUCAUAGUGGAAGUGAUUACAGGAAUGUGAGAGAAUGUUAUAACAAUCAAACUAGCUAAAGAUUCACUACCUAACUCUAAGCUAGUUAGAAAAAUAAGGCCUCACACUACACCAGUAAACUUGUUUUCGGCUCAGGUUUGUCUAUUAAAAUAUCUAUUCUCUUGAGAAGAGUUUUGAUCAACCAAAAAACCAACAAGUUCUUGAUCAACUUUAAGCACAUAUUUAUUUUUAAGCGGAGACAAAACAUUUUUUAAAGCACAUUACAGUACAGUUCUUUUCAAUUUAACAUUUAGUUCCUGGGGGACCUGGUUUAGCCAUUUAAUAAUUAUGUCUACAUUAUUCAAUUUCAAUUGCUACAUUUUAGGGAAAAAUGCAAAUUUAUAGUUUUGGUUGCCAUACAAUUAUGUACAUAAAUACGUUCCAGUCCUUGAGCAAACCCCAAUUUACUCAACUCUUGUUUUCUUGAAAAAUGAAAGAUAACUAUAUUCUUCCUGGAUAUUUGAUUUUCAGGUAUUCAAUAUUGAAACUUUCAAGUGGUCGUUUGGGAUUCUUUUCUCCCGCUUGGUAAGUUCAUUUAAUCAAAUACUAUGCUGUAAAGUAUGUGGUAUGCUUAAUAAUUGGAGAUCAAGGCAUAAAACUAUGUUAUAGGGAUUAAUUUGGAAACAACUUGGUUGCACUUCUGAAAUGGUAUUCAUCUAUUGAAACUGUAAAAGCCUUAACUUUUAGUUUAUUUUAUUUUUUAACAUCUAUCUUUGCUGCCCCUUUCUUUAUAUAUAUUUUUUGUCCAUAUGUAAUUUGAAUGCUGACAAGAUAACAUUUCUCUCAAGCCCAGGUUCGGUUACCCUCUAUGGAUGGAAAGGUUGCAUUGGUUCCCUGGGCUGAUAUGCUGAAUCAUAACUGUGAGGUACGCUGAUUGGUAUUUUUCUAAAGCCGUGAGUUGAGCUGCAGAAUUGAAAUUUAACCCUUGCAACUAUGAAUGCUGCCUCAGGUGGAGACUUUCUUGGAUUAUGAUAAAGCAUCCCAAGGUGUUGUCUUUACAACAGAUCGAGCAUACCAACCAGGUGAGCAGGUAAAAGAACAUUUAAAAUUUUCAUCAUGGAUGAAUCUGAUGGAAUAAUGUAAAACUCAAAUUUCUUGGGAACUUGAAUUAGAAAAAUGAAACUAUUUCGAACUUGCAAAUCAUAUUGGAUCUUGAGUCCAUGAUGAAACAUAAUGGCCAGUGCCAUAAAUGGUAGAAAGAAAGAUCAGAAACUUUUUUUCACUUCACGCUUCCAAAAGGAACAUUUCCCAGAUAGACGAAAUUUAUGUCAACCACAAAAGUUGUAUUACUAUGCAUCGUGUUUACUUCAAUCACUGAUCACUGCAGGUGUUCAUUUCAUAUGGCAAGAAAUCUAAUGGGGAGUUGUUGUUGUCAUAUGGCUUUGUUCCAAAGGAGGGAAGCAAUCCUAGCGAUUCUGUUGAGUUGUUACUCUCCCUAAAAAAAUCUGAUAAAUGUUAUAAGGAGAAGUUGGAAGCACUGAAAAAGCAUGGAUUAAGGGCGUGAGUAUGAAGAAAUUGAUGAGUUCUUCACCAUUUAUCGGGAUUUAAUUCAAUGAACAUUUUUAUGACUUCCAUUUUCCAAAUUAAAAGAAGAUAUCAUCUCAUCUUCCUUCAUAAAGAUUCAUCUUUAAUUUCUGAUGCAAAUCUUAAUAAUUAGUGGUAAACUAAUCACAUUCGGGUUAGUUCCUCCCAACACUGUUUCUCUUGUUAAUAUCUUGUUAUUUUGUUGAUCGUGCUGGCUAAAUUAUCAUGGCAGAUCCCAGUGUUUUCCUAUUCAAGUCACUGGCUGGCCUUUAGAAUUGAAGGCAUUUGCUUAUUUAGCUGUUAGUCCACCAAGUUUGAGCAAUCAGUUUGACGAGGUUUGGUUCCCUACCUCUUUUAUCCUUAUGUUCUUGAACUUCAUUAAGCAAUAUCUUUCUCAAUGUGUAUCUGUGUAUUGCUACCAGAUGGCUGCCGCAGCAUCUAAUAAAUCAACAGCAAAAAAGGAUUUAAAUUACCCUGAUAUAGAGGAGGAAGCGCUGCAGUUCAUAUUAGAUAGCUGUGAAACUAGCAUAUCAAAAUAUAACAAAUUUUUACAGGUAACGGAUAAAGAAUGUGCUGAUUCUACUAUUUUAGUGGACAUUGACAACUUGAACUGAAUGAACCUCUGAUUCUUGCCAUACUAGCUCAUAAUAGAAAUCCAUAUUGAUUUUGGAAGAUUUUAGUGAUACUGGAAAUGCAUAUUUCUGACCUUAUCUUUGCAGGCAAGUGGAUCAAUGGAUUUGGAUGUGACGUCGCCGAAACAACUCAACCGUAGAGUAUUUUUGAAACAGUUGGCAGUAGACUUGUGCACUAGUGAACGAAGGAUACUUUUUCGAAGCCAAUAUGUAAGCCCACGUGAUCUCAUAUAUCUCCAGCUUUCUUAUUCUUCACGAAAAUGACAAGCUUUUUGCAUUUUCUGGUUGUUACCAAGACUAUAUUUGAUAACUUUUUGAUUUUUUAUGUUUUAUUUUAAAAAAAAAACCUUACAAACACUAUUUUUUUCACGUAUAAGUUCCUUUGUUUCGUUAUUUACCUUUGAGCAUCGUUUCAAAAAAACCAUAUAAAAAUUUGAAAACUAAGAAAGGUAGGCUCGUCGAAAGGUAGGCUUGUCUGAUGAUCAUUUUGUUUUGAACAUUAUGCUUGUUUCUUUACAAAUCUUGGUGAGUUUUUCACCUUUUUUCUUGUAAAUACUUGUAUUUUUGGAAUUGGCUAAGAAUUCAGAAAAAUGGAAGACCGAAAAGAAAGAAAUGGUGGGAAAACAAACACAAUUUUCAUAAACUAAAUGUUUAUCGAGCUAAGUUAAGUGGCUUGUGAUUAUUAUUUGCUAUGUAAAUCUUAAAGGUUAGAACCUCUUAUUUACUCUUUCUUCAAUAUUACUACUUCUACUAAAAAGAAUCUGAUAGCAAUAUUAAGAAUUCGACUACUGUUAUUGAUAUCUUGAGUAUGGAUGUUUUCAGAUUCUGAGAAGAAGAUUGAGAGACUUAAGAAGUGGUGAAUUGAGAGCUCUAAAACUGUUCAGAGGGUUUGGGAAACUUUUCAAAUGAUUGGUUCACGAGUCAAACAUGCUAGUCCUAAACCUUACAAAACACCCACCGGAGCUUUGCCCACUUGGCGUGGCCGCCACGGUUAGUUUCCUACUUGAGAAUCAAAGAGUCUGGUCUAUAUAGCAUCAAAGGUUCUGUUUAGAGUUGUGUAGUGAACAAAGUGAAAAAGGCAAAAGAACUUCCCCACUCGCUACCACUACCUCUUGAUACAUCUUCAUAUUGUAAGUUACUAAGUUGUGUAUUUUGUUGGACUAGUUUUAAACAUUCUUGAGAGAAAAAUAAUGGAUUUCAGUAGCUUUUGAUUCAACACAAUUUUCAUUUCACUUUGUUAUUUAGCUACAUUCUGAAGUUAUUUUCCUAUAGCUGUUUUGUUCUAUUGUUCAGAUUUUUUUUUUCAGAACUUCAGCUGGAGAACAUCUCAUCUCAUAGUUGAUCGAUCUUUUUCAUGCCUUUUGAUUUUUGAAUAAGUUAGCUUUUAGUUUUUACACUAUGUAAUUAGAAUUUAAUUUCUAUAUUUUGAUAAAAUUCUCCUAAAUAGUAUAGAUAUUAGAGAUUAUUUACGAGAGGUUUUUCAAAUCGUAUGGAUUAUUUAUAAGGUUUUAUCAAAUCACAAGGAUCAAAUUAUAACUUCUAGAAUACGGAUUGACUAAAUUCUAACAUCUCUUCGCACCAAGUUUGUAAUUUACUAGAAAUUUUACAAAUGUUAUUUUUAUUUCUCUCCACUCCACACUCGAAAAGAAACUUAGUUGGAACUAGAGGAUGAAAGUGUAACGCAACCUUACCUUUCUGAAAAAAAUAAAUUUGAAUUGGUAACCAAAAUUGGCAAGGCUGUAAUGAUUAUGCCAACUAGAUUGACAAUGUGAUUUAAACAAAUUGGACUACGUUACAUUUGCAUGCAUUCAACAAUUUAACCCAAUUGUGUUUUUUUGGGUAAGAAAACCAAUUGAGUUUUGUUUCAUUGAUUAAACAAAACAAAACCAAGCUGCAAACAAAAUUUAAGCCAAGUUUGUGAAAACGCAAGUUGUUACAUUUAUCUAUUGGUGUUUUUGGUUGCAAUAUUACUCUUAAGCUGAGUAGAAAUCCGUUAGAAGAUGAAAGUUCGAGACAAGGAAUAAGCAUGAUAAUGAUUUGGAAUGGUGCAAUGAUUUUUAAGCCUCAAUUCUCGUUCUAGGUCGAUGUUACAUCGCUCUUAGUUCUAACUUUUGUCCAACAAUGUAAUGAGUUGUAUUCCAAUUUUAUUUCAAUAACAAUUUUGAAAUGUACAAAUGAAACUAUUACAACUUAAUUGUUCUUUUAAAAGUAUAUGUUAGCCUUAACAAAAACUAACCCAAGAUCGAUGUAAAUUAGUUUGAAAGUAUGAGAAAUAGAAUUUCGCACCUAUGUAUUUUGUAAUUCAAUAAUAUGAAGUUGUGGCAUUUUGAACAUCUAACUUAUCGAUUAAAAUUAUAUGCUUAAAUUAAUUGAAUUACGUUUGAAUGGCUCCAUACAUAUUAGUGGUUCACCACAAAUUACUUUUUAUCCUAAGAAAAAAAGUUCUUCAAAAAUAGGAUAGGAGUCAAAGUAUUUACAAAAAUGAAUUCACGACUUAGAGUUGUCACCCAUACAUUCUUUAUUAUUUUUUAAAUUUUCUUAAAUUUUCAAAUGACGUACGUGAAUGGAUCAAAUUUUUUAAAUUUAAUUAUAUAUGUUUUAUUAAAUAUAUAUAAUUAAAUAAGGAAGUAAUUUUCUUAUUAAAUUCAUAUUUCUCAUUUUAAAUUAUGGUUAUUCCUUUAUUAACAACUUAUUGUUUUUUUCUUUUUAUAUAUAUAUAUAGAUGUAUAUUCAAUAUGUUUCAUAAUUUAAUUACGUGGGUCAAACAUUCCUAUCUUAUUUAUUGUUUUUAUUUUUCUCCUUCUAUAUAUAUUAAAUAUCUCAAUAUCUAAAUUCUAAUCCUAAAAAUAUUUUCCUUAUUAAACUUAUAUAUAUUAAAUAUCCCAACUUUCAAUCAAAAAAAUAAUGAAAGUGUGAUGUUCAUUUUUAAUUUGAUUAUUUCUUUAUAAUUUCAGUAAUAUUUUCUUUUAAAAAAAGUCGUGUACUUUAUUUCCAAAUUUCUUUCCAUGCUACCAUAUUUUCGUCAUUAUCUUAAAAAAAGCCAUUAUUUUUAAAAAUACUCCUAAAUGUUGACAGGAUGACAAUUAGCUUAAAAUUUUAUCUCAUUUUUCACACAAAACAACAGAAAAAUAUCUUUUCAAUUUUUUCCCUUUUCUAUAGAAUCAUGUAUUAAAUCAAUUCAUAGUUCCCUUUGAUUGACUUUGUACAAAAUGUUCUCCAAAAAAUUAUUUUAUUUAAACAAUUUUUUUUAAAAUAAAAACUAAUUAAAACACAUUUAGAAAACUAUUUUUUACACUUUACAAAUACUCCAAUUUCCUAACUUAAAUAUUUAAAAAAUAUUUCCACACAUACUCUUACAUCAACUUUCUUCAAUCCUUAAGCACACAAGACUUAUUGGUAUAUGCGUUUAUAACGAACAUAACUCGAUAGUUUUUGCUCCAUCCAAUUCGAUACAAUAAAAAGAGUGUUGUUAAAGAGAAAAACAAAAAGGUGAGACGAAUUAUAAAAUUAGGGAGGGAGAAUUAUGUUGCAUCCUUCUUCUUCUGGCUCCAAGUCCCAACAACAAAAACUUCCACAAAUUUGUUCCUUUUUUCUUAUAACUUUCAAAAUAAUAUUGACCCUUUUUUUGUUUUGUUUUAAAAUUUUGUGUUAAUUCCCCAAUUCCCCAAUAUCUAUAAAACCGAUUGCUUCACGAACGCAGGGCGUUCAAAGGAGCUCAAGUUUUGGACGACAAUGGAGGGUCUCGCUUCCCUCAGAACAAUUCCCAACGUUCCCUUUCAACCCAUCUCCUCUUCUACUCGCAGGUCAAAGUUUCUUUCCAGACGGUUGAAUCUUGGGCCUUCAAUGGACUCCUCUUUGAGGAAUUCAAUCACUCUUACCUCCUCCUCCUCCUCUUCUUCUCCCAUGUUCACUGCCAUCCGAGCUCAACAGGUUUUGAUUUUCGACUUCUAUGUUAUUACAAUUUCGAGACUUUUUUGCUGGGGUUGAGGGAUUUUCUGUGUAGUUUGUGUAUUCGUUGAUUCUUUGUGCUUAAUCUGCAUUUUGCCCAUCUGGGUAGAUUUUGUUUUCUCGUAUAUUGAUUUGAAUGGUCGAUAUUUGGAGAGUUUUGUUGUAAUUAGUAUAUAUACUACUUGCUUUUCAGAUAGAGUCAGAGGCUGGGUCAGCUGCGGCUUCCCCAGGUACUGAAUCAGAAGAAAAUGCUUUGAAAGUGAAGGAAUGGGAAGUGGGGAUGUUCCAAGAUGAAGUAGCAGCAACUCAAGGCAUUAGGAUUCGUCGCAGGCCGCCCACUGGACCACCGUUGCAUUAUGUUGGACCCUUUCAGUUCAGAUUACAGAAUGAAGGAAACACUCCUAGGAAUAUUUUGGAGGAGAUCGUAUGGUACAAGGACAAGGAAGUUUCACAGGUAAACAUUAUGCGUAUUGCUAGAUGAUAUAAUAUCAAAUUUGACAUCACCCAUCUGCUUAAAGUUGUUGGGUUAAUUGAUGAUUUAAGAUUGUAUAAGAGCAAAUGGUCGAGGAGGUCCUGUGUUGAGUGUGUUUCAAAACUUGCAAUGUAAUUAUAUUAGAUAUGAUUUCACUUGUCAUCUUAAGUUUUUGGGUCGAUGGUAAUUUAAGGACUUUUGGUUGAUCUGCAUUCCCAUACUUUAGGAUAUUGUCUAUUGGCUAAUAUUGUUCUUUGGUUUUUGUAUGUUUCCAGAUGAAAGAAAGAAGGCCUCUUUUUUCGUUGAAAAAGGAUCUUGAGAGGGCCCCUCCUGCUAGAGAUUUCCUUGGAGCUCUCAAAGCUGCCUACCUCAGAACUAAUUUGCCUGGUUUGAUCGCUGAAGUGAAAAAGGCUUCUCCUAGCAGAGGAGUUCUAAGGGAGGAUUUUGAUCCUGUGAGUUUCCUUGACUGUUUAUUUUGUAGUCACAUUUCAUAAAUCUCUACAUAAUUUUGACGCAGUAACUAUAGCAGAAAAUCCCUCUUUCAUAUUACCAAAAUUUGCUUGAAUUGUUAAAACAAGAAGGUUAUAAAGGCCUAGGUUUGCAUGCUUAGAGGAUUUUUAGACUUAAGGUGUACGAGUUUCUGAAACCUUUGUUUGGUCUGUAAAAGAAAUAGGUUAUAAAAACAUGGGUUUGUGGAACUUGUAUUUAGUAGGUGUUAUGUUUCGGAAAAGUUAGCAUAUAAUAUGAAGAGUAGGUUUCAUGACUCAUGAGUGUCGGUUUAUUAGACAUGAGUUCUUGUGGUAUGUGAAAUUAACAACUCUAUAUCAUGGGAUAAAUAAAUUCAUUAGCAAGUGUAAGUUAGGUUUCUUAACCCAAGUUAGAUGAACAUGAAUACAUCACCUAUGAGCCAAACGCCACUUAAGUAUCAAUGUUUAUUUUUUCUCUCUUGAGAAACCAAGCUUUCACUGAGAAGAAACGAAAGAAAACUAGACAAAAGAUUCAUGGGCAUUAAAAAAUGGAAACCAGCCCAUGCUAGGGGUGCCUAGUACCUAAUACCAAGGGGCUCAAACUCAAAUCCCUAGUAAUAAGAUCUCUUGAAUGUAUGUAAACCAUAUGCAUAGUGUUUAACCUAAACCUUUUGUGCUAGUGUAGUUUUUUUUUUUUAAAUAAUGAGAUUGCUUUCCUGUGCUAUGCUGUUGAUGGAAGGGGGUAAAACUGAUUGAGAUAUGCUGUGUGUUUAUUUCCAAUGCUCAGUUUUAUCAAGUUAUGAAAUGGAGUGGUGAUGAAUAAACUGGAUACAGGGUCUUCUCCGACCCUAGGAAUGGUAGCAAUUUGUUUAACGGAUCCGUUAAGUGCAUCAAAGAACAAAAGGGGCAAUAAAUCUUUUAUUUAUUCUCAAUAAAAGUUGCUGUACUUAUAAAAACUGGUAUAAUAAAAGAUUUAGAGGGAAUAAAUUCAAUCCAUGAUGUCUACCCUUGGCACCCAAAUGUUAUAUAAGGCUACGCAAGAUGUCCCAUGAGAUCACUUGAGGUAGGCAUGAGCUGGCACUAACACUAACGGACAAUUAAAAAAAUUAAGUGCAUCAAACAAGGAACUGCCAUCUGUAUGUGCGUGCCUAAAACUUCAGUUGCAAAACAACACUAGGAAAUCCAAGCCUUUUAUUUAGUAAAAUCCAAAAUUCAACUACUUGUUAAGUGUAGCAUUUAUGUUUCAACCAGUCACUCUUGCAUCAGAAUAAUCGUUUUAUUUAAUGUAAAUUUGAUAAAUGAUGAUAGGUUGAGAUUGCCCAAGCGUAUGAGAAAGGUGGAGCAGCAUGCCUUAGCGUUCUCACAGAUGAAAAGUUUUUUCAGGUGAAGAACAUUUUAGGAGCUCUGUCUUUCUUUCAAUCUCUCGGAUGGUGUUUGACUUUUUAUUCAUUUUCUUUUAGUAUUUGAAGAUGGUUGGAUAAUUUCCUGAGUUUUACAUCUGUUGUUUUGGGGAUUAGGGAAGCUUUGAGAAUCUGGAGAAGAUAAGGAAUGCCGGUGUGAAGGUUUGUCUUAUUUAAUCACAAUUUUAUAUAUUGGUAUGUGAAUUGUACUUCUAAAAGUGGGAAACAUAUGCAGUGCCCUCUCUUGUGCAAAGAGUUUGUGGUUGAUGCAUGGCAGAUCUACUAUGCCCGAUCCAAAGGUGCAGAUGCCAUUCUUUUGAUCGCUGCUGUUUUGCCCGAUCUUGACAUUAAAUAUAUGGUGAAAAUCUGCAAGAUGGUCGGUUUAACCCCUCUUGUUGAGGUUCGUGUACACAUUAUGUCUUGCACUACAAUCUAGAAAACUCCCGUCUUUCCAUCGUCUUAGCUGAAUAGAAUGGUGUUUUGUUCAGAUCAGAUAUUGCUUACCAUUAUUGCACAAUAUUUAAAGAUCUAUACAUGUUUUUUUACCUUUUACUUCAUUUUUAGGUUCACGACGAGAAGGAAAUGGAUCGUAUGCUUGCAAUUGAAGGCAUCGAGCUCAUUGGCAUCAACAAUCGGAAUCUCGGUAAUGACUAACUACUUUUGUUACUUCGUUCGUAUUUGUUAAACUUCUAAUUUCUCCAUUGAUCAAUAUAUUACAUUCUUUCAUACCAAACUGCAUCGCUACUCUCUUCUUUAACUUGAUAUCUUUUAGUAUGACAUUGUACUCCCUAAAUUUGAACAGCCAUAGCUUUUAAGCAGUUAUAGCAUUUCGAAACACAAGCAAUUGUCUGUUUCUUGCUUCUGAAGCACUCCUAUUUCACCAAUACACUGACGAAAGUUCCCAUUGAAAGUUAUCUUGCUUAUAUGCGUGUGCGUGAAUCAAUAACUUGCAGAAACAUUCGAGGUUGAUAUCAGCAACACCAAAAAGCUUCUUGAAGGAGAGCGUGGACAAAAGAUCCGCGAGAAGAAUGUUAUCGUAAGUAUCAAGUGGACUUCUCUGCUGUUCAACAGCUUCUCAACAAACUAAUUCUUUCCAUCUUCUUUUAUGAGAAAAACACACCAAACUUUUACAUUAUCUGAUAUUCACUUGAUUGUUGUGAGGAUUGUUCAGAUAGUGGGAGAAUCUGGGCUGUUCACUCCCGAUGAUAUUGCUUAUGUGCAAGAAGCUGGUGUUAAAGCUGUAAGCUCAUAUUUUGUUUAAUGGCUUCCAUUGUUGCAUGACAUGGAAUUUUGAGAUUGUUUAAUGUUGGUUUCUGCAGGUACUGGUUGGCGAGUCGAUUGUGAAACAGAGCGACCCGACGAAGGGAAUAACUGGACUUUUUGGUAAAGACAUUUCUGUUUAAGCUUAAAGAAAAUUGGAAGUGUUGUAUUUUGAAUAUGUUGGUUGUCCCCAUUUGGCUCUAAUUUUAUUUAUCUAUAUGGUAUUUCGAGUUGUAAGUGAUUAAAUAGAGUCUGGAUUGUCGCCCUGCCUUCCAAAAUGGAAAAAUAAGGCAUGCGUUAUACAUUAGUACAAUAAAUGUUAUAGGAUACCAUAUCAGGUUCUCUCUCUUUGAUGGAUUUUCUUUUAGUUUCAUGCAUGAAUAUAGAGAUAGUUGUGCGGUUGAACCAAACUCUGUGCCCAAACUGAAAUUUGUUCCACCU